UCUCUCCGUAGUAUGUAAGGGAUCACAUGACUAUGAUGUCAUCAAAGGUCCUUCAGCCCCAAGAGGCGCUAUCGGCAGAUUCAGCACGGACUUCUCUGGCCUCAUCCCUCGUGCCGACUCCCCAGGUGUCAUCCCUUAUCUCUGCGCAGUGCUGUCUCUACCGGCUGUUCAUCACAACAUUCAGGUUCCUUAGGUGCAGGACUCUCUUCUUUUGAAAGACAAUGGUCCUUUCCAUCAAUGACCCACCAAGGAUGGAGAAGGACAGAGACCACAUGGCUACAAGGAUAUUAGACCUCACCCUGGAGAUCAUCUCCUUGAUAACUGGAGAGGAUUACACAGUAGUGAAGAAGUCGUCUGGUGAGUGUGUGACACCCCGUGUGUCAGGAGGAU